rnacentral:rRNA from 1 species
CCUACGGGAGGCAGCAGUGAGGAAUAUUGGUCAAUGGGCGGAAGCCUGAACCAGCCAAGUAGCGUGCAGGAUGACGGCCCUACGGGUUGUAAACUGCUUUUAUACGGGAAUAACGCGCCUUACGUGUAGGGCUUUGCAUGUACCGUAUGAAUAAGGACCGGCUAAUUCCGUGCCAGCAGCCGCGGUAAUACGGAGGGUCCGGGCGUUAUCCGGAUUUAUUGGGUUUAAAGGGAGCGUAGGCGGCUUGUCAAGCGUGCUGUGAAAUGUCCGGGCUCAACCCGGGCCUUGCAGCGCGAACUGGCAGGCUCGAGUCCGCGGAAAGUAGGCGGAAUGCGUGGUGUAGCGGUGAAAUGCUUAGAUAUGACGAAGAACCCCGAUUGCGAAGGCAGCUUGCUGGAGCGGAACUGACGCUGAGGCUCGAAAGCGUGGGUAUCGAACAGGAUUAGAUACCCGGGUAGUC